GAUGAAGAACGCAGCGAAAUGCGAUAAUUAAUGUGAAUUGCAUAAUUCCGUGAAUCAUCGAGUCUUUGAACGCACAUUGCGCCUCAUGGCAUUCCGUGAGGCAUGCCCAUCUCAGCGUUAGAAAAUAUUCUCAAAUUUUAGUUUUGUGCUAAAAUUUGGAUCAUGUCAAAGAAGCUAUUACUAUUAUUGUGAUCGCUCUUUGGAAAUUGAUAGGUCUUUGAGUUGCUACUCAUAGAACGUGAUGAAUCUUUCUUCGUUCUAUUGUAAUUCACUCUGGUAGUCCUAAAACUUGUAUGCCUGUGGCAUAUCUUGUAAUUUGACCUGAGAUUGGGUAGGGAUACCCGCUGAACUUAAGCAUAUCAAUAAGCGGAGGA
rnacentral:misc_RNA from 1 species